AAGUCGUAACAAGGUCUCCGUUGGUGAACCAGCGGAGGGAUCAUUACAGAGUUGCAAAACUCCAACAAACCAUCGCGAAUCUUACCCGUACGGUUGCCUCGGCGCUGGCGGUCCGGAAGGCCCUCGGGCCCCCGGAUCCUCGGGUCUCCCGCUCGCGGGAGGCUGCCCGCCGGAGUGCCGAAACCAAACUCUUGAUAUUUUAUGUCUCUCUGAGUAAACUUUUAAAUAAGUCAAAACUUUCAACAACGGAUCUCUUGGUUCUG
rnacentral:misc_RNA from 1 species